rnacentral:rRNA from 1 species
AUUGAACGCUGGCGGCAGGCCUAACACAUGCAAGUCGAGCGGAUGAAGGGAGCUUGCUCCUGGAUUCAGCGGCGGACGGGUGAGUAAUGCCUAGGAAUCUGCCUGGUAGUGGGGGAUAACGUCCGGAAACGGGCGCUAAUACCGCAUACGUCCUGAGGGAGAAAGUGGGGGAUCGUCGGACCUCACGCUAUCAGAUGAGCCUAGGUCGGAUUAGCUAGUUGGUGGGGUAAAGGCCUACCAAGGCGACUAUCCGUAACUGGUCUGAGAGGAUGAUCAGUCACACUGGAACUGAGACACGGUCCAGACUCCUACGGGAGGCAGCAGUGGGGAAUAUUGGACAAUGGGCGAAAGCCUGAUCCAGCCAUGCCGCGUGUGUGAAGAAGGUCUUCGGAUUGUAAAGCACUUUAAGUUGUGAGGAAGGGCAGUAAGUUAAUACCUUGCUGUUUUGACGUUACCAACAGAAUAAGCACCGGCUAACUUCGUG